rnacentral:rRNA from 1 species
UACGAAGGGUGCAAGCGUUACUCGGAAUUACUGGGCGUAAAGCGUGCGUAGGUGGUUUGUUAAGUCUGAUGUGAAAGCCCUGGGCUCAACCUGGGAAUUGCAUUGGAUACUGGCAGGCUAGAGUGCGGUAGAGGGUAGUGGAAUUCCCGGUGUAGCAGUGAAAUGCGUAGAUAUCAGAAGGAACACCCAUGGCGAAGGCAGCUCGCUGGCCUACAACUGACGAUGAGGCGCGAAAGCGUGGGGAGCAAACAGG